rnacentral:rRNA from 1 species
UACGGAGGGUGCAAGCGUUAAUCGGAAUUACUGGGCGUAAAGGGUGCGCAGGUGGUUUAAUAAGUUAGCUGUGAAAUUCCUGGGCUCAACCUGGGGUGGUCAGCUAAGACUGUUAGACUUUGAGUAUAGGAGAGGGUAGUGGAAUUUCCGGUGUAGCGGUGAAAUGCGUAGAGAUCGGAAGGAACACCAGUGGCGAAGGCGGCUACCUGGCCUAAUACUGACACUGAGGCACGAAAGCGUGGGGAGCAAACAGG